GACGAACGCUGGCGGCGUGCUUAACACAUGCAAGUCGAACGGAAAGGCCCUGCUUUUGUGGGGUGCUCGAGUGGCGAACGGGUGAGUAACACGUGAGUAACCUGCCCUUGACUUUGGGAUAACUUCAGGAAACUGGGGCUAAUACCGGAUAGGAGCUCCUGCUGCAUGGUGGGGGUUGGAAAGUUUCGGCGGUUGGGGAUGGACUCGCGGCUUAUCAGCUUGUUGGUGGGGUAGUGGCUUACCAAGGCUUUGACGGGUAGCCGGCCUGAGAGGGUGACCGGCCACAUUGGGACUGCGAUACGGCCCAGACUCCUACGGGAGGCAGCAGUGGGGAAUAUUGCACAAUGGGCGGAAGCCUGAUGCGGCAACGCCGCGUGCGGGAUGACGGCCUUCGGGUUGUAAACCGCUUUCGCCUGUGACGAAGCGUGAGUGACGGUAAUGGGUAAAGAAGCACCGGCUAACUACGUG
rnacentral:rRNA from 1 species